rnacentral:rRNA from 1 species
CGGACGGGUGAGUAACGCGUGGAUAACCUGCCUCAUACAGGGGGAUAACAGUUAGAAAUGACUGCUAAUACCGCAUAAGCACACGGGAGCGCAUGCUUCCGGGUGAAAAGCUCCGGCGGUAUGAGAUGGAUCCGCGUCUGAUUAGCUGGUUGGCGGGGUAACGGCCCACCAAGGCGACGAUCAGUAGCCGACCUGAGAGGGUGGCCGGCCACAUUGGGACUGAGACACGGCCCAAACUCCUACGGGAGGCAGCAG